rnacentral:rRNA from 1 species
GACGAACGCUGGCGGCGUGCUUAACACAUGCAAGUCGAACGGAAAGGCCCUGCUUUUGUGGGGUGCUCGAGUGGCGAACGGGUGAGUAGCACGUGAGUAACCUGCCCUUGACUUUGGGAUAACUUCAGGAAACUGGGGCUAAUACCGGAUAGGAGCUCCUGCUGCAUGGUGGGGGUUGGAAAGUUUCGGCGGUUGGGGAUGGACUCGCGGCUUAUCAGCUUGUUGGUGGGGUAGUGGCUUACCAAGGCUUUGACGGGUAGCCGGCCUGAGAGGGUGACCGGCCACAUUGGGACUGAGAUACGGCCCAGACUCCCACGGGAGGCAGCAGUGGGGAAUAUUGCACAAUGGGCGGAAGCCUGAUGCAGCAACGCCGCGUGCGGGAUGACGGCCUUCGGGUUGUAAACCGCUUUCGCCUGUGACGAAGCGUGAGUGACGGUAAUGGGUAAAGAGGCACCGGCUAACUACGUG